AGCAUUGUCCUCUGGUCUGGUAGAGA
rnacentral:piRNA from 1 species